rnacentral:rRNA from 1 species
CGGGGCUGGUGAGUAACGCGUGAGGAACCUGCCUUUCGGAGGGGGACAACAGUUGGAAACGACUGCUAAUACCGCAUGAUGUAUCGGGAUCGCAUGGUCUUGAUACCAAAGAUUUUAUCGCCGAAAGAUGGCCUCGCGUCUGAUUAGCUAGUUGGUGGGGUAACGGCCUACCAAGGCGACGAUCAGUAGCCGGACUGAGAGGUUGGCCGGCCACAUUGGGACUGAGAUACGGCCCAGACUCCUACGGAAGGCAGCAG